ACACCCAAGAACUUCUACCUGUCCAGCCAUAGCAGUUCCAGGAGAAGAAGACAGCGGCACCUCCACCGAUGAAGUGGCCCCAUCGCUUGAUCUGACACUUGCAGCCUUCGGCUCAGGUGCUGAAUCAUGCUGAAGGGGGCAGGGAGAAUUCCGCACACAACAGCCACACUCCAGUAUCGUAUCCAUGCGGCCAUUCCACAUAAAGAUCUAGGAAGUACAUAUCAACAGCCAUCAGAAUACAGUCUUUUCCUACCUGCUAGACUUUGGAGCAGAAGUCACAGGAUAGCAAUUCUUAAUCCUGGAGUAUUAAGAUCAGUUGUUUUGUUCUUCUCACUGUCCUGCUGGAGAUUAACUAACUCAGCGCAUAUUGGAGAUGUGACCUGCAAUUGUAUGGCUCAGUUUCACACUGGACAAGGUUUAGACCAAUUGAGCCAUUGGGAGCACUUCUUGAUCCAUGUUGUUUAGAGGUUGUGCCCAAUGUUGUCAUAGCUAUCUGUAUUUAUUAUUUUUGCCCAAGGUUCAGAUCAUCUGCUCAGCUGCCUCUACUGCUUCCUCCCUUCUCCUUGCCCACCAAAUCAAACCUUCCCCUGUCCGCUCCCUGACCUCAUCCAUGGGGGGAUGCAGGCAUGGGGGGCAGAUUUUUAUGGAGCCCACAAGAGCAAGAAAUUUGGUGUACAAGGUGCCUUAAUUAGGCGAGAUGCAAAAUAUCAGUUUCCCAACGGUACUGCACAGACAACAGGCAAACUAAGGUACGGAAGACCUGGAUCCUAAUGUAACAGUGCCUUGCCAAGCUGCUUCUUUGUUGGAGUCACCAUAGCCUCAUCAUUUUCAGAAUAAGCACCUAUUGUCAAUUGUAUCGGGACACAUGCAGGCAUUGGCUUUUGUAUCAACCAGCUGCUUCUAUGCUGCUCCACAUGUGCUAGUGGUGAAAGGCAUCUCUUUAUGAUGAACACUGAUUGAUGUAAGCAUAAAAUAAUGGACAUCCAUGGGGUGUCAGAAUCUCUCCUUUAUGAUUGCCUGAGAUUAUUCAUCAAGUGAGCAUUGUGUAUGGCUGCAUCUAGAAUUUGGACUUGAAAACUUUCAUAACAGGAAUGGGAGCGUUCAUAAGGAAUGCUGCUACUGUGCCUAUGAUCACUGUAGUUGACGCUGACAUUGCAGUAAACCACAUUGCAUGUGCCUAUUGCUCCAACUAAUUACACUAACUUACCCAGUUAUGUAUAAAAGGAUGGUAAUAGCUCAGAAGGAGGCCAUUCGGCCUGUCGUGUCAUGCCAUCUCUCUGCAAGAGCAACUCACCUAGUCCUACUCACCCACCUUUUCCGUGUAGCCCCGCAAUUUUUUCCCUUCAGAUAAUUAUCCGAUUCUCUUUUGAAGGCCUUGAUUAAAUCUACCUCCACCACACUCCUGAACAGUGCAUUCCAGAUACUAACCACUUGUGUAAAAAACAUUGUCUCCUGUCACCAUUGCUACUUUUGCCAAUCACCUUAAAUUGCUGUCCUC